GAUGCUCGGUGCCAGGUGUGUAUUUUACCUGGUUCACCUGGAUUGGUGCGGUGCUGAAGGGAGGACACGUCAGCCGAGGGCAGUGGGGACAACGGGUGUUUCCAUGAACUCCAGCACCCACUCUUCUUGUAAAUCCCGGACACAUGGUGCCUCCAGAACAAAUUCUCCCUGCUAAAGAUCUGCAAAGUGUUAGAACUUAUUCCUCCAGCCAAAACAACAAUCUGUGUAAUAAUUUCUGCAUUAUGAAAAGAGGCCAACUACUAAAAGUUGGUAAAAAUCAAAGUACUCUUUUGUUAUUUGCUCUGUAGUCUGCUGGGAGAAUGAAAAGACUAUCAAUGCCUCAGGAGGGUAGUGAAAACUCUUAUUGUCCAGGAAAUAAAAGUUUACAUUGAAACUUUGUGGAUACCAACCCUGAGCAUGUGGUGUUUCAUCCUGUUUUAAAACACAACAAUUUUCUUUUUUUUUAUGGUGGGAACUUUUCCUGGGAUAUAGGAAUGAUGAACACCAAGAGAGCAACCAAAAGACACUGUCUUACAACUGCUUGUGAUUGGAUUUUCUGUCCUCGUGCUGCUUGCCCAAGUUCGUCCAACUGGAGGUGCCUUAAUUUUACAUGACCAGUUUGUGAUGCACUUGUGAGAUGGCAGAUGAGCCCCUCCACCACCCCAAAUUUCAGAGAGGGACUACUGUUGCAGUUAAUAGAUGUAACAUACCCGAGUAGUGCACCACCUGAGGCAGCUGACUUCCCGACAGAAGUUUCUCUCUCGGCUUGAGAGCUGAGAAAAGACUGAUGGCUCCAACAAACAUUUCUGAAUUGCAAAUGCUGCUUUGAAUAAAACAGACACAUAUAGC